AUACGUAGGGUGCAAGCGUUAAUCGGAAUUACUGGGCGUAAAGCGUGCGCAGGCGGUUUUGUAAGACAGAGGUGAAAUCCCCGGGCUCAACCUGGGAACUGCCUUUGUGACUGCAAGGCUAGAGUACGGCAGAGGGGGAUGGAAUUCCGCGUGUAGCAGUGAAAUGCGUAGAUAUGCGGAGGAACACCGAUGGCGAAGGCAAUCCCCUGGGCCUGCACUGACGCUCAUGCACGAAAGCGUGGGGAGCAAACAGGAUUAGAUACCCUGGUAGUCCACGCCCUAAACGAUGUCAACUGGUUGUUGGGGAUUUAUUUUCUCAGUAACGAAGCUAACGCGUGAAGUUGACCGCCUGGGGAGUACGGCCGCAAGGUCAAAACUCAAAGGAAUUGACGGGG
rnacentral:rRNA from 1 species